AUAAAUGUUGAGGAGUCAAGUGCUCCUUGAGUUAUUCUGCAUGUUAGUUGACUGUGUGACAGAAUUGCUUUUUGAGCAUGGCUGUCUCUUGAAGUUAUGCCUGAGCGGAGUUUCCUUGCAGCAUGAUGUUACGAUGCCUUGCUGAAUAUGAUCCUCAGUGUCUGUGGCAGCUUCCAUUUUGGAUAAGUGCAAGAACUGAGUAGAUUAGAACUAAAGCUAUGCAUUUCUGUGGAAGAAGAUUUUUUUUGAAGUGCAUCCCACACUGCCAUUUGUGAUGACCUGAAGCUUGUCCUGAACAAACAAGACACUGAGAGCAGAUAGAAUAAUGAUCGCCGCCGCAGCAGCGAAGUGCUGGGUGUUGUUCAGUCUCACCAAAGAAUUCCACUUAUGUAUGAUGAUCCUUUUGGGUCCCUUCCAACUCAGGGUAUUCUGUGACUCUAUUUAUUGGUCCUAGGAUGCCUGUGGUCUUACAGUUCCCGUAGUGAGCUGCUGGAUCUAGAAACAGAUUGAUAUAUACACGCUGAUUCAGGGCACAAAGGAGCAACUACCUGUAAAGUCUCACUGUAAACGUAGUGUGCAUUUGAGCUACUGCAUAUGGAGAGUGAGUCUGAAAGUAACCUGAGCUGCAGGCAUAAAUUGAAUAUCUUUACCAUACACAUUCAUAGUAUCUCAUCUAAGAAUGUUGCUUAAUUGGUAGUUUACUGGAAGAGGCAUCCACUUGCUGUGCAAAAUACAAUUACAGUGAUUACAUUUCUGCAAAGAAAUAACGUUGGGGCUUUAAGGACAGUGAAAAGUUUUCUGAUGAGUGGGCAGGAAGGGAAUAAGACUUUGAGAAUGGAUCACAGCUACCUGAAGGAAGCCAGAGUGGAAGUUGAAUUAUCCUUGCACUCUCUAAUUAAAGUUUUCCACUGCUUGG
rnacentral:lncRNA from 7 species